CAGAUUCUGGUUUAUAAUCUCCUCAGCUAUCUGCUUCCCUUUUAUGGAGGGCUGAGAAAUUUCUGGAGGUCCCCAUUUUCCAUGAUUGACUCUGAUGACUUCUCCAUGGGAAAGCAUGCCCCUGCAUCCAGGUACUGAUUUCAAUAGCAUGUAAUUUUAAGAAAUACAUCCUCCCAUAACACAGAUGGAAUUGCUUGUCAGCUCCAGGAGUGGGGAGAGAAGAAGGGAAGGAGAUAAUAUGGAUCAUAU
rnacentral:lncRNA from 1 species